CCUACGGGAGGCAGCAGUGGGGAAUAUUGGACAAUGGGGGGAACCCUGAUCCAGCCAUGCCGCGUGUGUGAAGAAGGCCCUCGGGGUGUAAAGCACUUUCAGUGAGGAAGAACGCCUGGUGGUUAAUACCCAUCAGGAAAGACAUCACUCACAGAAGAAGCACCGGCUAACUCCGUGCCAGCAGCCGCGGUAAUACGGAGGGUGCGAGCGUUAAUCGGAAUUACUGGGCGUAAAGCGCGCGUAGGUGGCUUGAUAAGCCGGUUGUGAAAGCCCCGGGCUCAACCUGGGAACGGCAUCCGGAACUGUCAAGCUAGAGUGCAGGAGAGGAAGGUAGAAUUCCCGGUGUAGCGGUGAAAUGCGUAGAGAUCGGGAGGAAUACCAGUGGCGAAGGCGGCCUUCUGGACUGACACUGACACUGAGGUGCGAAAGCGUGGGUAGCAAACAGGAUUAGAUACCCCUGUAGUC
rnacentral:rRNA from 1 species